AAUUCCAGAAAUGUUUCAAAGGGGUAUAAAAAUGGGCUUGUCGCCCAGAACACAACCAUAGCACAACUUGGGAAAAAGUUAUGUGGUUGAUGUACCACUUAUCACUCUUUAGAACCAAAUAUCUGAGACCAAAUAACCGAGAGUUUGAAUUGGCCCAGUUGCUCGUCUUUUAUCUGUCAACAAUUAAGAUGUCGAUUGCUUUCUGUGUGUUCAACACUUUUCUGGGCACAGGAAAUCCACAGGAAAUCAGAUUAAGUCUUUCUUCUUCAUGAUUCAUUGGAGGUGAUUAAAACACACACUUAUUUGAAAAUGGUAUGAAACAUAUAAACAGAUAAAAGUGUGAACAGAAUUCUGGACCCAAGUUUCUUGCAAAACCAACUUGUAACAAGGUUAAGUUCAAACACAACAAAUUUUUUCACCACCACCUCCCCUCCCCACCAUAGAAUUAUUUUUAUGUGAUUAAACAUAUUUCUCAAAUCGAUUGCUUUGCUUUAAAAUUAAAAAAAAAAAACACAAGAAAAAGAGAAAAAAAGAAAGAGCACACUCAAAUGUAGCAUUUUGGAUCCAUUAAGCUAUGUACAGAUAAAUAUUGGCCCACAGUCCAAACCUGGCUCAUUGCCUGGUUUUUGUAAAUAAAGAUUUAUUGGAACACAGCCACUCUCAUUUAUAUACUGUCUGUGGUUGCUUUUGUGCUAUAAUGGCAGAACUGAGUGGUUGCAGCAGAGAACAGAUGGCUCUCACAGCUGAAAAUAUUUACUAUAUAGAUCUUUAAGAAGAAGCUUGCUGACCUUUGAACUAUGACGGGGAUACUUUAUUGUUGAUUUCUUUCCAGCAAUUGCCCCACCCCCCAGGUUUAUAUCUUCUUUCAGUUUGUCACCGACAUCUACAGAUCGUUGCUUUUAAUUUUAAUGAAUGAAACUAAUCUAAUAACACACCUUCAUGGUGAAAAGAAUCCACUAGAACUUUAAAACAAUACUCAUGGGCCACGUGGGCUAGUUUUGUUGCACCUGCCACCCAUUUAUCGAGGGUAGUGGUACCGGCUACAAGUAGUAGUACAAAUGGGUAGUACUGGUUGAUGGAAUUUCAGCAGGAGCUCUGCAGAGCCCAAGAGAUGUCCAGCUGGUGAGGCAGAGAGAGGCAUUUCUGGAGCAAAAGCCACACCAACCAUACUUAUCAGAACUCCCAUCAUGUGUUUGGCACUGAACAGGUUGCUGUGAGCUGGGGUAAAAGCACACACGUGGGCUCUCCCCUUCUGCUACUUAGAUCCAUCAAAGAAGAAAGGCUCUAAGCAAACAGUGACACAGAUGGGCACUCCUAUCCUCACUUGGCAAACGGAGAAACUGGAGCAGAGAAGGGCAGCAUCAGUCAGCUAAGGACACCACUAGCCGGCAGAGCCCAAAUCCAAGCCUAUGACUGGUUGAACAGUAAUGCUCCCAUCACCAUGGUGCAAGGAUCCCGGUCCACUCUUCGUCAUCCCCAAACCGAGGACAUAUGAUGCAAGCAGAAGCUCCACUUAAAACAUCCUAAGCAUUUCGCUAUGACUGUGCAAUCUCCUGAAAAUCCUCUUCCCAGCUGGAUACCACUUCCCUGCAGGGAAGCGGUUUCACUGUUUUGUCCCCACUGUUGGACAUAAGCUAAGUUGGAGGCUGUGGUCCAACAGAAGGGGGCUGCGUUGCAAGGGAGUCAUUCUCCCUGAUAUUCCCUAGGCUGUGGUUGGGACUGAAUCACUUUAUUAAACACCUAUGACCAUA